UACGUAGGUGACAAGCGUUGUCCGGAUUUACUGGGCGUAAAGAGCGCGCAGGCGGUCGAUCAAGUCGAGUGUGAAAGCCCCCGGCUCAACUGGGGAGGGUCAUUCGAUACUGAUCGACUCGAAGGCAGGAGAGGGUAGUGGAAUUCCCGGUGUAGUGGUGAAAUGCGUAGAUAUUGGGAAGAACACCAGUGGCGAAGGCGGCUCACUGGUCCGCAACUGACGCUGAGGCGCGAAAGCGUGGGGAGCAAACAGG
rnacentral:rRNA from 1 species